rnacentral:rRNA from 1 species
AGUGAACGCUGGCGGUAGGCCUAACACAUGCAAGUCGAACGGCCGCACAGUAAGCUCUUGCUCUUACGGGUGGCGAGUGGCGGACGGGUGAGGAAUACAUCGGCUUCUACUUUUUCGUGGGGGAUAACGCAGGGAAACUUACGCUAAUACCUCAUACGACCUACGGGUGAAAGCAGGAGAUCUUCGGACUUUGCGCGAUUGAAUGAGCCGAUGUCGGAUUAGCUAGUUGGCGGGGUAAAGGCCCACCAAGGCGACGAUCCGUAGCUGGUCUGAGAGGAUGAUCCGCCACAAUGGAACUGAGACACGGUCCAGACUCCUAAGGGAGGGAGGAGUGGGGAAUAUUGGACAAUUGGCGGAAGCCUGAUCCAGCCAUCGCGCGUGGGUGAAGGAGGCCUUCGGGUUGUAAAGCCCUUUUGUUGGGAAAGAAAAGCAGCAGGAUAAAACCCCGCUGGUCUGAAGGUAACCUAAGAAUAAGGCCCGGCUAACUUCGUG